AAACGAGGAGGACUGAGGGAGAGAGAAACGGCGCAGUGCGCCUGCGCGGGAAAAGGGCUGAGCAGUGCGCCUGCGCGCCGCGGCGCCCGAGUGCAGUGAAAUUCCGUGAAGGGGGCAUUAAAAGAAAAGAAAAAUUAUUUGAAAAGAAGAAGGAGGAGGAGAAAAAGCCUAAGGGGAAGGUUGGCGCCAGGGAGCCGACGCGGCGCGAGCUGCCGCCUCAGGGCUGAAGGGACCCCUCCUCUUCCGCCGGUUCCCCACCCCCACCCGUCGCCCGCCACCGCCUCAGAAUCUCCUCAGGGGCGGCUCUUUCCCCCUCCCCCUCUCCCCUCCCUCUCCCCCCACCCGCCCCCCAGCCGUGGGACUCGCCAGGCGCUGCUGUGGCGGCGGCGGCGGCGCUGAGAGGACGGGAAGGCCCCCGGCGGCGGCGGGGUCGGCGUGAGCGUGGAGGGACGAGCACUCGCCGGCUGGCUCUAACCCGGCGAUAGCAGCAGCAGCAGCAGCAAGAGGAGGAGCAGCGUCGCCGCCGCCGCUUCCUCCUCCGCCUCCUCCACCGCCCCAGACUCCCCUCCCCGGGCACCGGCGGGAGAGAAUGACGGAGCUCCAGUCCGCGCUGCUACUGCGGAGACAGCUGGCAGAGCUCAACAAAAACCCAGUGGAAGGCUUUUCAGCAGGUUUAAUAGAUGACAAUGAUCUCUAUCGAUGGGAAGUCCUUAUUAUUGGCCCUCCAGAUACACUGUAUGAAGGCGGCGUCUUCAAGGCUCACCUUACUUUCCCAAAGGACUAUCCACUCAGGCCACCAAAAAUGAAGUUUAUCACAGAAAUAUGGCAUCCAAACGUUGACAAAAAUGGUGAUGUCUGUAUUUCCAUCCUUCAUGAGCCUGGUGAAGACAAAUAUGGCUAUGAGAAACCUGAAGAACGGUGGCUUCCCAUCCAUACUGUGGAAACCAUAAUGAUUAGUGUAAUUUCUAUGCUAGCAGAUCCCAACGGUGACUCUCCUGCUAACGUCGAUGCAGCGAAAGAAUGGAGGGAAGAUAGAAAUGGAGAAUUCAAAAGGAAAGUUGCCCGCUGUGUAAGAAAAAGCCAAGAGACUGCUUUCGAGUGACACUUAAUUCAGCAGCUAGUAGCUUCACUUUUUUCAGGCACUUAUGGUUACUGCUGAUGGUAAUCCUGGCGCUGAUGUUUUCCAAAGAAUUUCGGUGUUGCCAGCUGAAAGCUAAACACGCAACUUUUAAUGUCUCCAAUUGAGGAACAUGGCACUGUUUUUCCUGCACUCUAUCCACCUAUUGCUGGACUUCUGUUUGUACCAAGUUGGCAGACACUGGCUGGAACUGGGCUGCAAUAAAACAUG